GGUGCUGACUUAGACUGCUAAUGGAGGUCAUGUCGGUGGGCGCGACAUGAUUUAUCCAUCUCUUCUACCUUAGAAGCUUCACAUAGGAUGCUUCCACUACUCUACACACCUUUUGGAAAUUUAGUUAAGUUUGUAUUUUAUCAUAUGUUGUAAAUUAAGUUAUAAAUCUUCCGCACUCUGAUGUAAGUUAUUUUUGUAACAAAUGUUGUAAUGUUGUGGUAACUCCAUGUUGAUCCUGUACGAGUUAAAAUGUGGAUGAUUCGGGUUUCCCGAGGACACCCGACAGACUUCUUGAGUCAUUUGGAACUCGUGCACGCUGAUCAGAAGUCUUUGAGACAAUGAUGGGUGCAUGUGGGCCACUUAAUUCAGGAGGUUCUGCCACAGCUGGUAUCAGAGCUCAUACAUGGAUCUUCUGCAACAUUACUUGUGAAAAACUUCAAAAGGAAUUUACAAAUUAAAAGUUUUUGAGGAUAACGACUUAUAAAUGCUCCUUAACUUUUCUUAUGCUUGCUGUCCCCGUUCUACGAAGACUUUCUGUCGACUCAAAUAGAAGGCAUUGAAAGGGACUUCAAUUUUUCUUCAACAAGCCGAGUGAAGAAUCAAACUACUCCAACAAUGCUUUGUCAAAAGUCUUGCAACAUUCCGUCCAGAGCAAUAAAGAUAAUGUAUAAAGUAUGCCCUAUAUAAGUAGUUACCUCCUAGCUAACGUUGUAAAGACGUAUAGGCGAGCAUAUUGCAUAUCAAGCAUAACAUGACAAAUAUAAUGAUACAUAAAAGCCCCUCCUUAUGCUUCAAAACAGUUAUUAUUCGGUAUAGCUGUUUUAUUGAUGAAUCUCAUCAUGUACCAGGUUUCGUUAACUGAUUGAUAAUCUUUUACUCCAUAAGAUCCUAAUCCUUGAUUCAUUUGUUAUGCAUGUGACCUUCCUUGAUUGCAUCUAAUUCGGACACCUACUACCUCCUUGAUGUCAUUUGUCAACAUUUAUGUUGAUUGAAUGUCACUAUGAUUGUGUCCUCUUAAGGUACCAUGACCCAUAACUUAGGUAACAGCGCCGAAACCUGGGGUCUCCUAUGGCUCGCGACCAUAAGGAAAUACUGCUGGGCGCUCGCUGUUAUCAAAGUCUAUGAUCAUGAUCCCUUAUAGACCCGCAACUUAGGUGACCUCACUCUUUGAACAAUAUUAUGGGAAUCCAUGCCCAUAUCUCUUUGGAAUUACCUAAAACCCCUGACUUAGAUAACCAACAUAGGUCAUUGAAAGCUAUUAUAACCGUACUCUAUAGUAGGUACCAUGAUCCGUGAUCACGUUAUAGCGUCGAACCUUGUAGUCUCCUGUGGACUGCAGCCAUAAGGAAAUACUACUAGGUGCUCGUUAAACAUCGGGAUCUCUGGUCAUGCUCCGCUAUAGUCCACAGUUAGUGUGCUUUCAUUCUCCUUGGAAGCUCAUUUGGAGAUUCAUAUCUUCUUAUGAAUUCUCUAACAUUCCUUAUUGAUUACAACAUUCUGUUGAUCUUAGUUGUAAUUCUCGGACCAAUUGUAAUUGUUUUAUGAACUUCUCAGAAGUUAAUGUGCUUGACACAUUUCCUUUUCCAUUACUUAACCCCACGGGUUUUAGUACCCUGGAAAUCUCGGGACGAGAUUUCUUUAAGGGGGAAGGGCUGUAACAUCCCUGAUGUUACGAACACUAAAACUGGAUUAAGUCAUCAUAAGCAUUGCAAAGCAUAUUUGUUGAGCACAUCAUUAUGCAUCAACCUAAAAUAAGUUUAUUUUGGUUGAUUGUGCUUAGGGAAUUAAAGUAUGUUUAUCUGGUGAAGUGAUGCUCAUGAUGGUUGUUUUAUCCCUAGUUAAGGAGGGUGGUAAAAAAAAAAAAAAAAACCUAAUUUCAAACAUAGUUUUUACCCCCUUUUGUGCAAUUCAAAAACCAAGCAAAAUUUGAGGUUGAGUUCAAAAGAAAAGUUGUAGGUCUUGUCAAGAUGUACAACUUUGGUGUUUUGAGUUUUUGGAGUUUCAAUAAAAAAUUUAAAGUAAUUUUGAAAAUACAAUUUUCCAGAAAUUGUCCCCUUUUCCGAUUUGAAUCCCCAAUUCAAAAUCUAUUUGGAAUUUUGAAAAGUGGUCAACAUGAAAGUUGUAGGGCUCAAAAAGUUGAACAACUUUCAUGUUGGGAGUUUUUCAAGUUGUUUGGAAAAAUUAAAAGUAAUUUUGGAAAUUCUAAUCUGCUCCAAUUCAAAAUUUGGAAUUUCCCCAAUUUGGGAUUUGAAAUUCAAACUGUUUUGUCAAAUUCGUCAUUUUCCACCCAGAAUUGGCUUUGGUCACCAAAAGAAGAUUUGUAGUUUGUAAAAUUCUGAAUAACUUUUGUUUUGGUGGAAUUUUGUCUUCAGUUCAAAAUUUGGACGAAUUUUGCAAAACCACAAAACUGGUUGGAUAAAGCCUGCUACAGUAACCGAUGAGGAUCGCGGCCUGCACUGCCGCCACGACAGACACUGCUGCUCAGGACGCCGCCACGCACCCAGCCACGCAGCUGCUCGCCUGCUUACGGUCGCGGUGAAGUGGCUGAGCUCCUGGCGUCCUCAUCCACUUCUUCCCAUGGCUCGCACCUCACUGCAACCCUCUCUUCUUCCUUUCGCUCAACGCCGGUGAGCUCCCUGCGCCCGCAAAAAUUCACCUCUUCCACUUCCUUUCUAAGCCACCAGAGCACCCCAGCAGCUUUGCCAAGGUCUCAGCAACCAUUCGCGCCCCCUUGAUGCAAGCUCUAACCAUCUCUAGCCCCGGCUACGUCCGUUCUUCCUCCAUUCCGGCCAAAAGCGCCGCCGAGGAGCACCUCACCGUGGCCAUGCCACCUCAGGCCUUCUCGCAGCAAGCCGUGGUCACCAGAGGGUGCACAUAGGCCCAACCAUGCUCCAGUACCUCUCCCUUGUCGCCAACAGACGGUCGCCGGUCGGAAAUCCGGCUUUCCCGCGCACCUCCUCUGUUUCCAUUUCGCGCCAGGGACUUCGCGUUGGAAUUCGACACAAGGCAAGGGUCUAACUGCGAAGUUCGUGACUCAGGUGAAUAGUGCCAUCAGGACCUGUUUGUAGAUGUUUUGUUAGAUCUUUGAAAAUUCAUAUCUGGAGUUUGGCAACUCCAAUUUUGGUGAACCAAAUUUUGUUGUGCUCCUUGAGAUGUCUAGUUUUUAUUAAAAAUAUGAAACUGAUCAUGUUUUGUAGUAAAAUAAUUGGUUAUGAUUUAUGCCUUUUAAUUAUGUUUAAAAGGGAGAAAUUCAUAUCUUAUUCUGUGUAGAUCCUAUUGCCCUGAAAUUUUUAUGGUGUUCUCAUGAUGUUAUUUGAAUGUUGCAGUAAAAAUUUCAUGUUCAGUAGAUGACAUAUGAUUAAGUUAUUGAUUUAUCUUGUGUAGUGCUUAUUAAAUAAUUUACAAUUAAACUAAAAAGGAAUAAAUGUAAAAUAUGGUUCCUCUACCUUUAUAUGAAGUUGUUAUAUCAUAUAGAUACAUAAUUUAGCUAUGUGUUUGUAGAAAAUGUCGAGUUUCUUAUUUAUCUUGUUGUUACAUGCUUUCUUGUGAUGGAAAUUUAUCUUUUUCAUGGAAACUGCUAUACUUAUUCAAAUGGCAUGAAAUUUAAUAUGUGAACUUGUGUUAAUAUUACCUAGCUUCAGAAAUAUUUUCAGUUAUUUUUGAUUAAGUAUGCUCUGUUUCUUAAUAAAGCUAUUUAAAUGCUUAUAAAAGAAAUAGAAAUAAUUAAUCCCUUUAGGAUUUGGGUGAUAUUUUAGAUUGUUUGACAACCAGUGGUCACUUAGCAUAACAUGCUCCCUGGUUAAGGAUUCUUUCAUGUAAAUGAUCUUUGUUGCUUAAUAACUACACAACAUUGCUUAAUGAAGAUGAUAAAAUUUACUUAGUAGUAAUCUAUGCUUUGAUAGCUAGAUUAAUUUGUUUCUUUACCGUGAAGGUAAAGUGUACUCGAGAUAAUCAUAUUUUGUUGUUAUCAUCCAAGAACAUGUAACCUGUCUUUAUCAUGUCAUGAGCAUCUCAUUGAUCAUGCAUAUGCACCUCUACGUGUAGACUACGCUCCAGAGGAAUCUGAUCCUCAGUGGGUUGCUUCCGAGUUUGUGGAACCAUCUGGUUUUGCUGAGUUGUCGAACUUUCCUUCCAGUCAAGGCAAGCCCCGGACAUUAAAACCCUAUCCUUGUAUUUUCAUAAAGUUAUUUAUAUCACUUGAGUUAAUAUGAUGCAUUAGGUGAAUAGGAGUUGAGUGAAUCCUAUUUGCUGCAUUAUCUACCUUGAUGAUUUCCAUAUUAACCUUGAUACCUGCUUUAUGAAAAUGCUUAGUAUGCUUAGCUCUGCUUAUUAGAUAAGUUUUCAAAUGAGAACGUUUGAAGGGUUGUUGUGGAAUACUUUUAUGGUUAAUGAUGUUUAACUUGAGACCGGUUGGUGGACUUGCUUUAAGAAUGGAGUCUUAAAGUAGUGUCUCCAACUGAGUCGAUUAAGGACCGUACCGUUGAUUGGCCUGUUGUGAUUGAGACCUUUGAGUACAGCCCACAUGCGGCGGUAAGCCUUACCUAUAGCUAUUCCGAUACUUGAGAACGGCUAACCGCGUACUGGGAGUGGAAAGAUGGCGAGAGUAGCGUGUACCCACCUUACGGAUUUGAGAUGACCGGGAAACAUCUAGAUUGGCUGUAGGAUGGUGGUGUACUGUACUCUCGGGUGACGCUGGACCCGUUCUUGUAUGGGAGGAUCUAUAGAAAAGGUUGACAUAUGCAAGAUUAAGUUCUACAUAUGUCGUGUGGUACUGAAUCCCCAGCUGGGUUUAAUCGAUUCGAAUCGCCGUGUUUCCUCGGACAUGGAGCCUCAAUCCUCACACCAUCAUCGUAGUAAUAAGUGAAUCUUUGGUAUAAGAAAGAGAUGUUUUGCUUAUGAAAGUUGGAUAAUGAUCUUGGCUAGUUAUAAGUGAUAAUCUUGAGUUAAAACUUGAAAGUAGGCUUUACUCUUAGUAAGCUUUUAUGCAAAAGAAAUACUUGAUCUUGAUAAAGCUUUACCUUGCAACCCUAUAGCCUGCAUAUCUGAGUCUUCACCUCUUUUCUAGUCGGUUAAGUCUUGUUGAGUACUUUUGUACUCAGGGUUUUAUAACCCCUGUUGCAGGUGCUGACUUAGACUGCUAAUGGAGGUCAUGUCGGUGGGCGCGACAUGAUUUAUCCAUCUCUUCUACCUUAGAAGCUUCACAUAGGAUGCUUCCACUACUCUACACACCUUUUGGAAAUUUAGUUAAGUUUGUAUUUUAUCAUAUGUUGUAAAUUAAGUUAUAAAUCUUCCGCACUCUGAUGUAAGUUAUUUUUGUAACAAAUGUUGUAAUGUUGUGGUAACUCCAUGUUGAUCCUGUACGAGUUAAAAUGUGGAUGAUUCGGGUUUCCCGAGGACACCCGACAGACUUCUUGAGUCAUUUGGAACUCGUGCACGCUGAUCAGAA
rnacentral:lncRNA from 1 species